AUUGAACGCUGGCGGCGGGCUUAACACAUGCAAGUCGAGCGAGCGGCAGACGGUUGAGUAAUGUCUGGGAGACUGCCUGAUGGAGGGGGAUAACUACUGGACACGGUAGCUAAUACCGCAUACCAUAAGAUUUGCCCAGAUGGGAUUAGCUCGUAGCGGGGGUAAUGUCUCACCUAGGCGACGGUCCCUAGCUGGUCUGAGAGGCUGACCGUCCACACGGGAACUGAGAAACGGCCCAGACUCCUACGGGAGGCAGCAGUGGGGAAUAUUGCACAAUGGGCUCAAGACGGAUACAGACAUGCCGCGUGUCUGAAGCAGGCCUGCGGGUUGUAAAGCACUUUCCGCGAGGAUGCGGUACUCGCAGAAGAAGCACCGGCUAACUCCGUGCCAGCAGCCGCGGUAAUAC
rnacentral:rRNA from 1 species